AUUGAACGCUGGCGGCAGGCCUAACACAUGCAAGUCGAGCGAGCGGCGGACGGGUGAGUAAUGUCUGGGAAACUGCCUGAUGGAGGGGGAUAACUACUGGAAACGGUAGCUAAUACCGCAUACCAUCAGAUGUGCCCAGAUGGGAUUAGCUAGUAGUUGGCGUAAUGGCUCACCUAGGCGACGAUCCCUAGCUGGUCUGAGAGGAUGACCAGCCACUCUGGAACUGAGACACGGUCCCUACUCCUACGGGAGGCAGCAGUAGUGAAUAGUGCGCGAUCGGCGCAAGCCGAAUGCAGCCAUGCCGCGUGUUUGAAGAAGGCCUUCGCGUUGUAAAGUACUUUCAGCGAGAAGGCGUUACUCAAAGAAGAAGCACCGGCUAACUCCAUGCCAGCAGACGCGGUAAUAC
rnacentral:rRNA from 1 species